AUUGAACGCUGGCGGCAGGCUUAACACAUGCAAGUCGAGCGGAGUGAUGGUGCUUGCACUAUCACUUAGCGGCGGACGGGUGAGUAAUGCUUAGGAAUCUGCCUAUUAGUGGGGGACAACAUCUCGAAAGGGAUGCUAAUACCGCAUACGUCCUACGGGAGAAAGCAGGGGAUCACUUGUGACCUUGCGCUAAUAGAUGAGCCUAAGUCGGAUUAGCUAGUUGGUGGGGUAAAGGCCUACCAAGGCGACGAUCGGUAGCGGGUCUGAGAGGAUGAUCCGCCCCACUGGGACUGAGAGACGGCCCAGACUCCUACGGGAGGCAGCAGUGGGGAAUAUUGGACAAUGGGGGGAACCCUGAUCCAGCCAUGCCGCGUGUGUGAAGGAGGCCUUAUGGUUGUAAAGCACUUUAAGCGAGGAGGAGGCUCUUUUGGUUAAUACCCAAGAUGAGUGGACGUUACUCGCAGAAUAAGCACCGGCUGACUCUGUGCCAGCAGCCGCGGUAA
rnacentral:rRNA from 1 species